UACAGAGGGUGCAAGCGUUAAUCGGAAUUACUGGGCGUAAAGCGCGCGUAGGUGGUUUGUUAAGUUGGAUGUGAAAUCCCCGGGCUCAACCUGGGAACUGCAUUCAAAACUGACAAGCUAGAGUAUGGUAGAGGGUGGUGGAAUUUCCUGUGUAGCGGUGAAAUGCGUAGAUAUAGGAAGGAACACCAGUGGCGAAGGCGGCAUCCUGGACCGACACUGACGCUGAUGAGCGAAAGCCAGGGGAGCAAACGGG
rnacentral:rRNA from 1 species